AUGAACGAGGUAUGCCAAAGACAGCACCAACAACGAGCAAUUUCAGAGCCCCAAUUAGUGAAUUUACUGACAGCUCAUGGCAUUGUGUCAAGAGGAGUGACUGAAAAGCCCCAACAGAUAAUGAUGAAAAAUGUAAGUACAGUGAACAUUCUUAAUAAAAGCACACUAUAGAAAGCCACUGUCUGGCUUAGUAGU
rnacentral:lncRNA from 1 species